rnacentral:rRNA from 1 species
UACGUAGGGUGCAAGCGUUAAUCGGAAUUACUGGGCGUAAAGCGUGCGCAGGCGGUUAUGCAAGACAGAGGUGAAAUCCCCGGGCUCAACCUGGGAACUGCCUUUGUGACUGCAUAGCUGGAGUACGGUAGAGGGGGAUGGAAUUCCGCGUGUAGCAGUGAAAUGCGUAGAUAUGCGGAGGAACACCGAUGGCGAAGGCAAUCCCCUGGACCUGUACUGACGCUCAUGCACGAAAGCGUGGGGAGCAAACAGGAUUAGAUACCCUGGUAGUC